rnacentral:rRNA from 1 species
AGUGAACGCUGGCGGUAGGCCUAACACAUGCAAGUCGAACGGCAGCACAGUAAGAGCUUGCUCUUACGGGUGGCGAGUGGCGGACGGGUGAAGAAUACAUCGGAAUCUACUUUUUCGUGGGGGAUAACGUAGGGAAACUUACGCUAAUACCGCAUACGACCUACGGGUGAAAGCAGGGGAUCUUCGGACCUUGCGCGAUUGAAUGGGCCGAUGUCGGAUUAGCUAGUUGGCGGGGUAAAGGCCCACCAAGGCGACGAUCCGUAGCUGGUCUGAGAGGAUGAUCAGCCACACUGGAACUGAGACACGGUCCAGACUCCUACGGGAGGCAGCAGUGGGGAAUAUUGGACAAUGGGCGCAAGCCUGAUCCAGCCAUACCGCGUGGGUGAAGAAGGCCUUCGGGUUGUAAAGCCCUUUUGUUGGGAAAGAAAAGCAGCAGGUUAAUACCCCGCUGUUCUGACGGUACCCAAAGAAUAAGCACCGGCUAACUUCGUG